GCCUCGGUGGCUCAGUCGGUAGCGUGUUCGCCUUCUGAUCCCGAGAUCGCUGGUUCGAACCCGGCCGAGGACGCCAGCAACUUGGUGGCAGGGUACAAGUUGCUUAGACACGCCGUCUUCCGCGAGGGACGUUGAAAUACGGGGUGCGGUGUGAUGAGCUUUCAUCGCACGUUGAAGAACCCUCAGCACCCCACAGUUCCUGCAAUUGAUGUCACCAUCGCACAGCCGGAACAGCUUCAGCUAUCACAGCCGAGGUUUCAGUACUGCAAGGGCAUGAUAAGCAUCUAGAAUCUGGUUUUGUACAGGAAUGUCAAGUCAAGAUGCCAUGAAGAGGAGAAAAAGGAAAGUGACUGAAUUUUAACACUUUUCCAACGCACAGUGACUGGUAUUCUCUGUCGAUCUUUCGCUUUGUUGUACGGUGCGCAAAAUCAAAAAACGAAUUAAAAAGCA